CGUGGGUAACCUGCCCAAGAGAUCGGGAUAACACCUGGAAACAGAUGCUAAUACCGGAUAACAACAGAUGAUGCCUAUCAACUGUUUAAAAGAUGGUUCUGCUAUCACUCUUGGAUGGACCUGCGGUGCAUUAGCUAGUUGGUAGGGUAACGGCCUACCAAGGCGAUGAUGCAUAGCCGAGUUGAGAGACUGAUCGGCCACAUUGGGACUGAGACACGGCCCAAACUCCUACGGGAGGCAGCAGCCC
rnacentral:rRNA from 1 species